CUCCAAAUGUACAUGUAGCAAUCUUAUGUAGCAGACUAGGCCUGCUGUUGGACAACUGACUUUGACCGAAAUCAGCAACUAUUCUCUUCUGGUAACACUACCUGCAAAAUUAACUUGCAUCCAUUUAAAACUUAAAGAACUUGCUUGCUCUUUUAACUUUUUUUUUUAUCAAAAUUUAUUAAAGACUUGUAUUGUCGCUACGAAGAUCCAUAUGCCUCUAUGGUUUCUAACAAUUCCACUUAGAAUGAUUCACUUUUUAUGGUCAAAAUUUCCAAUAUUACUCCAUAAUCAUUAUAUAAUAGUUAUAGAGACUUUUGGAGAUAUUAUUGUCGAUAAGUCUAGUUUAUAUUCUUUUCUUAUAUUUGUUGAUAACCUUAGCGUUAUAUUUUUUAUCUUAUUAUAGGAAUUAAGAUGUGAACUUUCAUCAUUUGCUGGUUCAAUUGACUGUCAUUGCUGCGUACGAUGCUGGUUCCCUCAGAUAUUCCUUUUCUUCUGGUAUAGAUGAUAUAAACAAUUAACAUAGUCACUUUCAUCUCCUUGACCAUAGCUUGCAUGCUUCCACCAUUUUAACUGCUGUUUUCUGUUGGUGUUGCCACCAGAAACUGUUUUUAUUCAGUGUUCUUGUUAUUGAUAAGCAAGGGAGAAA
rnacentral:lncRNA from 1 species